GGGCAGGGCGUUUAGGGUUCCACCGCCAUACGGCGGGUUCGGUCCGAGAAAUGCCACCCGGCGGGCAAACUCCCGCAGGGCACACGGCGGGGCAAAAUCCCGGGAGAC
rnacentral:sRNA from 14 species